AAGUGAUCAACCCCUCUAAACAUGUAUUGAUUUAGUUUAUAUAUAAUUGGGGGUUUAGACUAGAUCUUAAAUGAAUGAGGGAGUGUACACUAGACUAUGUUAGCAUCCCUUUCCUGGCACAUAUGGUGUGAAAGGAACAUGGGAUUAAAACAAAAACAACACACCCAAAGACCCCCAUAAAUUGUCAGUAGAAUUUUUUUAAAGGAUGUGAGCAUUGCAUAUGAAUCCAAACUAUACGCUAUAUCUAUAAGAGAUACAAACUUUUACAGAUUGAAAUACAAACUAUACGCUCAUGGGAGUCCAACCUCUUGAGGCUUCAAUCUUUGGCUAGAUAAUCAUGGUCACAAUUGUAUAAGAGAUAGACAAUGUUUUACAUUUAAUGUUUUUUACAUUUAUUGUAUUUGCAUUUCCCUAUAUGGCUAUAUCUAUAACCUUGGGUUCUGCCCAAUCUUCUUUUUCAGUAAUAAAAGUUUUAAUUUGCUAAUAAAUAAAUACAUUAAAGUUGUGCUUUCAAUUAUCAACAUCAAGUACUUUCACGUAACAACUUAAUAAAGUUGGGCAGAGCCCAAGGUUACAAUUUUAUAGGGUGUCACUUUUUUUAUCAUUCAGGACUUAGGAGUUGAACCAUAUAAAAAACCUCUUAUUAUAAUCCUUCUUUUUGAUAGAAUUGAAAUUUCAUUCAUGAAAAAUGAAAAAAAAGGAUAGUGCCUGAUAAUUACAAAUAAAUGGGAAUGAGUAAACUUUGGUUGGAGCCAUUUGGUUGGAAAAGCCUUAAUUUUCUAAUAAAUAAAUAAAUAAAUUAAAGUUGUGCUUUCAAUUAUCAAGUACUUUCACUUGACAACUUAAUAAAGUUGGGCAGAGCCCAAG
rnacentral:lncRNA from 1 species